AGUGAACGCUGGCGGUAGGCCUAACACAUGCAAGUCGAACGGCAGCACAGUCAGUGCUUGCUCUUCCUGUUGGCGAGUGUCGGCCGGGUGAGGAAUACAUCGGAAUCUACUUUUUCGUGGGGGAUUACGUAGGGUCCCUUACUCUACUACCUCAUACGUCCUUCUGGUGAAAGCAUUUGAUCUUCGUACCUUUCGCGAUUGUAUGAGCCGAUUUCGGCUUAGCUAGUUGGCGGGGUAAUGGCCCACCAAGGCGACGCUCCGUAGCUGGUCUGAUCGGAGGAUCAGCCACACUGGAACUGAGACACGGUCCAGACUACUACGGGAGGCAGCAGUGGGGAAUAUUGGACAAUGGGCGCAAGCCUGAUCCAGCCAUACCGCGUGGGUGAAGAAGGACUUCGGGUUGGAAAGCCCUUUUGUUGGGAAAGAAAAGCAGCAGGUUAAUACCCCGCUGUUAUGACGGUACCCAAAGAAUAAGCACCGGCUAACUUCGUG
rnacentral:rRNA from 1 species